ensembl:processed_transcript predicted gene 4189
GAGUCGAGAGCGAGAGUCCCGUGGCCCCGCCCCCAUCGCGCCCUCUGGCUCGAGAGUCUACGUUGUCUCGGACCCGGAAGUGGCUUUGGGUCACGAGGCUUCGCGGAGGAGCGAGCCCUGUGACUCCCUGCUGAGGAGCUGGCCUCUUGCCUCUAGCUGAGUUCACGACCUACUGUAGAGACUGGGACGUGCAUGCACUUGAACGCAUGAAUGCCCUGGACUGGGUCAUCAGAGGAAACACAGAUUCUAGUUUAAUUUGUCCAAGGAUUCUACCUUACUCAUUUGUAAAUUAAACAACGAUAAAGGUAAAAGCAGCACUGUGGAGAAAACUUGAGUAAAAGUAAAGACAUCUUGCAAAACGU